AUUGAACGCUGGCGGCAGGCUUAACACAUGCAAGUUGAGCGGAGAUGAGGUGCUUGCACCUUAUCUUAGCGGCGGACGGGUGAGUAAUGCUUAGGAAUCUGCCUAUUAGUGGGGGACAACAUUCCGAAAGGAAUGCUAAUACCGCAUACGUCCUACGGGAGAAAGCAGGGGAUCUUCGGACCUUGCGCUAAUAGAUGAGCCUAAGUCGGAUUAGCUAGUUGGUGGGGUAAAGGCCUACCAAGGCGACGAUCUGUAGCGGGUCUGAGAGGAUGAUCCGCCACCCUGGGACUGAGACACGGCCCAGACUCCUACGGGAGGCAGCAGUGGGGAAUAUUGGACAAUGGGGGGAACCCCGAUCCAGCCAUGCCGCGUGUGUGAAGAAGGCCUUAUGGUUGUAAAGCACUUUAAGCGAGGAGGAGGCUACUGAGACUAAUACUCUUGGAUAGUGGACGUUACUCGCAGAAUAAGCACCGGCUAACUCUGUGCCAGCAGCCGCGGUAAAAC
rnacentral:rRNA from 1 species